GACGAACCGUGCGAACGUUGUUCGGAAUCACUGGGCUUAAAGGGCGCGUAGGCGGGCGACCAAGUCAGAGGUGAAAUCCCACGGCUCAACCGUGGAAGUGCCCCUGAUACUGGUUGUCUCGAGGGAGAUAGGGGCGUGCGGAACUUCCGGUGGAGCGGUGAAAUGCGUAGAUAUCGGAAGGAACACCGGUGGCGAAAGCGGCGCGCUGGAUCUCUACUGACGCUGAGGCGCGAAAGCCAGGGGAGCAAACGGG
rnacentral:rRNA from 1 species